rnacentral:siRNA from 1 species
GAAGACCUACGCGACAAGAUCUU